GCAGGAUUACCCGCUGAACUUAAGCAUAUCAAUAAGCGGAGGAAAAGAAACUAACAAGGAUUCCCCUAGUAACGGCGAGUGAAGCGGGAAGAGCUCAAAUUUGUAAUCUGGCACUUUCAGUGUCCGAGUUGUAAUCUCGAGAAGUGUUUUCCGCGCCGGACCGCAUACAAGUCUGUUGGAAUACAGCGUCAUAGUGGUGAGAACCCCGUAACUGAUGCGGAUGCCCGGUGCUUUGUGAUACACUUUCGAAGAGUCGAGUUGUUUGGGAAUGCAGCUCAAAUUGGGUGGUAAAUUCCAUCUAAAGCUAAAUAUUGGCGAGAGACCGAUAGCGAACAAGUACCGUGAGGGAAAGAUGAAAAGCACUUUGGAAAGAGAGUUAACAGUACGUGAAAUUGUUGGAAGGGAAACGAUUGAAGUCAGACUUGUUAUCUGGAGUUCAG
rnacentral:rRNA from 1 species